GUGAGUUUGUAGAGGGGUGGCGAUGGGCAGCGGAGCAGCUCAUCAAGGAUGGCUCCAGUGCACCCUCAGCUCCAUCAUCAAAGCCGAGAUGGAGAUCCGGCAGAGGCCAUAUCACCGUAACUGCGGCUGCGCGCUGCACAAUUCUGGCCGUGCUGUGCCUAUCGACACCCCCUGCAAGCUCACCAAGGUCUCGUUCCCCUCUCACGAAUCAUGGUUAGGGAAUUCUCUCUUUUGCUCCUCACGAGGCAGUCAGGUCACCGGAUUCAUGGAGUUCCCUAUAUUAGACUCCCAUUCUAUAUCAGAACUUGAGAAUUGAAAUGUCUUUUAUGUUUUAUUAUUAUUAACAAUUCAGUGUUUU
rnacentral:misc_RNA from 1 species